GCGAGCGAGGCACACGCUCCGCCACGCUUCGCCAUCCCCACCCGCGCCUUGAGGCACCUUCGCGGCACCCGCUCGUUUGAUGGCCUUGUUUGGCAGUAAAGGGCUAGGCAGGGUAAACGUGACCGAGAUCUCGCGAAUCGGAUUCAUCCUCUGCGGCUUUUCGCAUUGCCUCUCGUCGAUGAUACCGAAUAUUCCGAUUAUCGACGCCCGUUCCCGAUAAUGAAACGUUUGCGAUGCGAACGAGUUUGCGUUCCUAUAUACACUGAAAUGAGCGAGAGGAGGAUUUCUUCCUGCAUGUGGUCCUCGCUCUGCAAAAUGCGCCUGCGUCCCGGAUUUCCCGGUCGCUCCUCGAUGCGGGGGUUCAUCGUCGAGAUCCUUUGUGAUCCCGACGAGGCGGCAUAUCCCAUGGGAUUAACCGAGGAAAUCGGUGCUGACGCCGGGCACGCGCUUCACGCUGCGAAAAUAACGGUAUAACCGCACACCUUAUGGCGACCAGAAAAGCGAAAGAGACGGGGGAUGAAGAGAGGAAAGGAAGAAAGAUUCCGCCGCGCCUCUUCGUAACAGAUCGUGUCAUCCGCAGGUGAACACUGACAUGAUGUUGGUGAAAAAGUAAGCACCGUUUCGCGAAUUUGUGGAAGAAGCACAGUACGAUAGAAAAUCUCGGGCCAGAUUUGGAACUUAUUUUUUUGUCAAUUUUUUUCAAAAAGUUAAAGAGAGAGAAGAUUAAA